rnacentral:tRNA from 2 species
GCGGGCGUGGCGGAAUGGUAGACGCGCCGGAUUUAGGUUCCGGUGUCGAAAGACGUGGGGGUUCAAGUCCCUUCGCCCGCA